GUGCUUGCUUCGUCAGCACAUAUACUAAAAUUGGAAUGAUACAGAGAAGAUU
ensembl:snRNA U6 U6 spliceosomal RNA